AGCUCCAAUAGCGUAUAUUAAAGUUGUUGCAGUUAAAAAGCUCGUAGUUGGAUUUCUGUUUUGAGCGUCCGGUCCGCUUUUUGAAAGUGUGUUACUAGGAUGUUUGAGACAUUUUUUGUGAGGAUGUUCUUCUGCUAUUCAGUUAGUGGUUGAACAGACUUGCAUCGUUUACUGUGAAAAAAUUAGAGUGUUUAAAGCAGGCGUUUGCUCAUUGAAUACAUUAGCAUGGAAUAAUAAGAUACGACCUUGGUGGUCUAUUUUGUUGGUUUGCACACCAGGGUAAUGAUUAAUAGGGACAGUUGGGGGUAUUCAUAUUUCAGCGUCAGAGGUGAAAUUCUUGGAUCGCUGAAAGAUGAGCUUAGGCGAAAGCAUUUACCAAGGAUGUUUUCAUUAAUCAAGA
rnacentral:rRNA from 1 species